CAGAGUUCUGGAGGCUGGGAAGUCCAAUACCAAGGUGCUGGCCUCCUGUGAGGGUCUUUUUGCUGGAUCAUCCCAUCCCAAGGCUUUGAGGCAAACUUCCCUAUGACCUGACCAAGCAUCAUGAGGAACUCCUGUCAAGGAAGACCCUGGGUCCCUGAACUGGACACAUCAGGGUCUCAAACCCAGUCUCAGCAAAGGACUUCUGGUUCCUCAUCUCUAAAGUGAGAAUAAAGUGUCUACCUCAUAAGAGGAUUCAAUAAAAUAAUGGAUAUAAAAUCUUUA